GGCCCCGAUGAGGGCCUCAGGGGCCAGAAGAAGAGAGCCCCGAGUUAGCAGCUGGCUCCGUCUGGCCAGGAGAGGCCCUCCACCAAGCCAGGCUGCAGCCAGAAGGCCCUCCCAGGUGCCACCCGGAUGCCAGUCAUACGCUCCUGGACUUUGCAGCCUUCAGAAUCAUCAGCCGCCUACUUUUCUAAUCUUGACCCUGGUCUCAGGUGUCACUGUGGCAACUGGCAGCACACAGGUGUAGCCUGGCCCCACCUCCCCUCAGCUGCACCAGUGUUGCUUCUCUGCCUCGGGCUCCUCCACUGCCGCAUGUGGGAUGACUGGGAGGGCCUGCUCCACCGUCCAGGCAUGUGCAAACCUGGAAACGCUGAGCAGCUAAUGAGCAGCCCUGGGGCAGCCCUGGACCAGUCCACGUUGGGAGCCAGUGGAGCAAUUCUUCCCCUGCGGUCUUGGGGCGAAGGUGAAUUCUACGUGGUUCUUCAGAGGGGCUCAGUGGGACUGAGACCCAUUUCUCCAAAACACCAACGAGCAGUUACCUAUGGGCAGCGUUCCCUUUUCUGAUUCUCUUCAUUUUUUUGCUUCCCUAUGUCAUUUCCCAAAAUAAACUGUGCACUGCAUAAAAAUGUUUUUUGGUUGAUGAUGGAUUUCAUACACAAGGGUGGCCUCAUAAGAUUAUGAUGCCCCUGAAAAAUUCCUAUUGCCUACUGAUGAUGUCAUAGUUCAGUGCAUUACCUGUGUGUUUAGGGUGAUGCUGAUAUAAAUAACUACCACGCUGCCAGCCAUGGGAAAGUACAGCAGCACAUACAAUGAUGGAUGGUACAUGAUACUUGAUAAUGAUAAUACGUAGCAAUGUUACUGGUUUAUGCAUUUACUAUACUAUACUUUUUGUCAUUAUUUUAGAGUGUAUUCCUACUUUUUUUUUUUUUUAAUGUUCCUGUGAAACACUCUGCUGUGUGGUGCCAGGAGCAGCCUCAUCCAUCUCUUACUUAUCACACCCCUUCAUUGCACCAAAAGUCCUUGGUGGGGGACUGGCCUAUUCCAUCCAGGUUUAUGUGAGUAGGUUCUGUGGUAUUUGCACAUUGGUAAAGUUACCCAGUGAUGACUCAUCUCUCAGAGUGUCCUUAUCCUUCAGUGACACAGGACUGUCCCUGCAUGCAAAACCCUUGUCUUAGGCUCUGUUUCUUGGGGACCAUGUAAGGGAGGGUGAGUAUUCUCUCUUCAUCCUCUGUACCACUUAUUUGACCAUCUUAGUGCAGCCAUAGUCUGUCUGGCAAUGUGUUUCUGUAGCUCUCUAUCUCCCCAGCUAGACUGGUGUUCUUGGAUCAGGGACUGGGUCUAUUCAUUCAAGGAACACUCCUGCUCCCCUAUUCUGAUGGGCUUUUAGGUAUUGAAGAGCAAAACAAUGUCUUGUCAGAGUCAUGCCCAAAAGCUUUUAAAGUCCCAUGAUAAUAUUAACUCAUCUGACUUGGUAUGUAUUCUUUAUUGUAGUGGUCUUAAAAUUUGUAAGGCUUUCUCUUUUAGCUAUUUUUGAUCCAGUUAUUGCUUAAAAAUGAGGCCCGAUCAGUUGUGACCAUUCAGCAGUCAGGGCCUGCUUCAUGGGCACUAGGCGUGGUGACAUUAUGCAGGGCCUAGUGCCUGGAAGGGCCCUGGCCUUGGUGAAAUGCUCCGUUGUUGCCAUCUUGAAGUUCCUGACUUUAUCUUUGAAUUUGGCGCUUUACAAGUGAAGCGCUGUGCGCAUGAGCAGAAGAGCUCUAGGCAACAAGCGCGUGUGCCAUCCGAUUGGCCCAUCCCCAAGCUGUGUCCCUGAGGCCCAGAAGCACCGAGUUCCAGGGAACCGUGGUGUGCAGGGUCCAGUGAGACCUAAAGGUGAUGAGCAUGUGGUGCCCCUGAGGGAGUGGGCAGCAGGGAGGGAGUAAGGGAGCUGAUGGGGAAGGAGGCCCUGGCUUCCAUUAGAGCCAGUACUUGGUUCACAUCAGAAAGAAGGUAAUGACCUUCAGUAACAAGGACGACCAAGGGACGCCAUCAUAGCCUUUCUCACCCACGUUGUUCCCCUGUUUUAGCCAGUACUUAUGCUGAAGGUGACGACAUAGGGAAAAAUAAAUAAAGGCAAUGUAGGAACCCGGAGUCCCUUCUCCUUUCCGUCCUUCCUCACCCAGAGGCAAGCUGAAGGCCGGCUGCUGUGGAAUGUGCACAUAGCAGAAGUGAAAUGAAAACAUCGGCUGAUGUUAUGCAGUGGUUCUAUAGUUUGGCUCGUGCCAGCCUUUGGGAAUGUGGAGAACAAAGCCAUUGUUCCUGCCCAAGGGCUUUACAGAUUAUCAGGGGAUUCGGAUGAGCUACUGGACCGCUGGAGAAGAGGACAGUGAGCACACAGGAGUUGGGGACAGACAACAUCCAGUGUGAGCCAGAUGGUGUCCCCUGUAGCCCUUACCUCCAUUACCAUGGUCCUCGGCACAAAGCAGACCUCAAUAAUCAGAGCUGAUUCAGGGUAAGUUUUUGGAGAAGAUGACUUCUCCAUCACAAGUUCAGUACCUGGGUUUGCAGGCUCCUUGGGUAUCCAUUAACCUGCAGACGUCAGGAUGCAGCUGGGAAUGACCACAUUCAGUGACCAGGAGAGACCGGGGUGAAGCAUCUCUCAGGAUGGCUGCAUUCGUUCCAACACUGACGGAGGAAAGAAACGUCGAAGCCCAUUUCUGCCAUCUGUGUUACCCUUAGUCCCCAGGACAGUGUUUAAUUUGGCAUUAGAAAUUUCACAGCUGAAAACUAGAAAGAUCUUCAUACAUUUCUUGUGUAGAAAGACUGUUUCACCCUCUUUAUAUUUUAAAAAUUGAUCCGUGUAUCUUAUUUUUUCUUUCUAUGCAUUUCAUAUUUCUUUGCCAUAUUUCUUCACCCCUGAAAGAAAGUGUUGUUCAUCAAGCCCCUUUUUGGAUGUCCCCAGGAUUCCCAUAUGUGGCAUUAACUGUCACCCGCAGAGCCACCAAAGGACUUCAUUUGCCCUGCCUCAUGGCUCUUCUACUUGGCGUCACCACUAUUGGGUAUUAAUUAGACAAGGAGUUUCCUGAGAGUGCCUUGUGCCUGAGUCUCCUCUGGGACUGCCCCAGGACCCAUCACAGGGCCGGUUAUAUAUGAAGAGAACCUGCAGUAAACGGGGUUCAUUGAAUGAAUCAGCUAAUGCCAUCUGCUAUGGUGUAGAUGUGUCCCUCAAGAGUUCCUGUGUUGGAAGCUUAGUCCCCAGUGUGGUGCCGUGGAGAGGUGGUACCCAGCUUUUGGAGGCGGGAUCUAGUGCACGGUAAUUGGGUCAGUUCCCUCCGGAGGAUUUAACGCAGUUCUCCCGUGAACAUGGCUAGUUCUUGCGACAGCAUUCAUUGUUAUGAAGGAUAAGCCUUCCUGUUCUCUGGCUUCCUGUCUCACUAUGCAAUUUCCCCGCCUCACACUCCUACUAUGAUGCCAUCUGCCAUGAUGUCACAAAGCCAGGGAGCCCUCACUAGAGCCAAUGCCAUACUAUUUCGACUUUCAGCCUCCCAAACUGUGAACUAAAUACAACUCUUUGCUUUAUAAACUACCCAGCCUCAGCCAUUUGUUGUAGCAAUGGAAAAUGAAAUAGAUGCCAUCUAGUUGCUCCAAAACUUAAAAAAUUAUGCUCUUCAGUGAUUCACUUCUUUGCCAUCAAUCUUUUCCCUGGUACCAUUUUGUGUGUGUAUGUGUGUGUGUGUGUGUGUGUGUGUGUGUGCUGGGGAUUGAACCCAGGGACACUUUACCACUGAGCCAUAUCCCAAGCCCUUUUUACUUUUUGAUUUUGAGACAGAUUUUUGCUUAAGUUGCUUAUGGCCUCUCUAAUUUGUCUAGGCUGGCCUCAAACUUGCACUCCUCCUAUCUUGGCUUCUUGAGUUGCUGGGAUUACAAGCUUGCACCAUUGUGCCCAGCUCCUGCUAACUUUUAACACACACACACACAUACACACACACACACUUAAGAUUCUGUUCAUAAAUAAAUAAAUAAACAAAAGAAAAAAAUAGCAGAUGGCUGCUUAGUCCUGGCUGCUGGGACAUUUAGCACGGUGGAACCUUUGGUUGUGUCUGAAUUCAGAGCAUACCUGUAGACCUAGUGAGAGCCUGGGCUUCUGAGUGGGCUUGGGAAACCCUUAUUUAUUAUAAAGCUAAAAUUAAACUACAAGUUUUUACAUGUUGCGCAGCAGCAGCUGAUGCAAGUCUUAGUGAGCACAGUGCUUCUCACACCUCGGGUUUCAACUACAGUAAAGGGAUUACCACGCGUCAUGCCUGGAUUGGGCUUUGGCCAUGGAAAUGAAUGAAAUUGGGGAAAUUAAAAGUCAUGUUCUUUCACUUUCUUUGAGUUAAAAAAUCUCUUUAAGAUCUUUCAGAAUUCCUGGCACCCCUCUCUCUCUCUCUCUCUCUCUCUCUCUCUCUCAUUUGGCAUCAGUGUCCUGGUGCCUGCCAGGAUGUCUGGAUCCAAAUGGAAAAUGCUGAGACAGUGAGGCGAUCGCCUUUCCUGGAGCACUUGGGAAGUGCUGGGGUCCGAAGUGCUCAUCUCCCAAGUUCCUGUUUGAGGUGCUGAAUCCGACAGUCAGCUCUGCGGCCUGCUGCCCCACUGCUGGCAGAUGGUUUGUCUUUUCCCUGUGUCCCUCCUAACCCAUCAUUGACAGAACAUCCUGAUCAUGGUGAGAGAUCCAGGAUCCACACACGGCAGAGUCUGCUCUCCAUGCCAGGUUCCUCCUGGUACAAUACAGCUCUGUUCCUAACAACCCCCCCCAACCCCCGUGCACAAGGUUUCAUACAAUGUGUAGAAUUUCCAAAAAACAAAACCACAAUGCUCUCACUACAUCCAAUUAUGGAAACAACUAUGGGCAUCAAAAAUAAAAUGGCAGCCAGAGCAUAGGGUGUAUUAGUCAGCUCUGCAUUACUGCAUUGAAAAGCCUGAUGCAGGACGCUUACAAAGAAGACAAGGUUUGUUUGGCUAACACAUGGAGGUUCAAAGUCUAAACAGCAUAGUGCAGACUCUGGUGAGGGUUAGGGGCCAGUGGAUGGCAAUGGUGGGAGCGUGUGUCAGAGUUAGGGGGGAGGGUGGGUGUCCUGCUGUCCCUUCAAGGGCACAACCCCCCAAUGACCUAAAUUCCUCUCACUAGGCCCCACCUCCUAAACCCCUUCAAGGGCACACCCCCAAUGACCUAACUUCCUCUCACUAGGCCCCACCUACUAAAGGUUCUAUUACCUAUAAACAAUUCCAGGCUAUGGACCAAAUGUUAGAUCACAAGGGACCUUUGGAGGACACUCAAACCACACCCAACUAAAAAAGUGUCAUUCCCUGACAUUGAAGCUGAGGAUUGAAUUAGCAUUAAGCACAAAAGCCACCCAAUGUGACAUGGUGUAUGAUUCUGUUAGGAUUUGUGUGGUUUUAGUGAUUCUGAUUUUUUAGAUAUUUACAUCUUAUAUAAAGUAUUUUCUCAAUAUUUUUAUUUUUUUAUGGAGGACUAUUUCUAAGACUAGUAUUGGGUUUAUAGAAACAUUAAAAGGAAGGUCCAGAGAGCUCCCAUAUGCCUCCUCACCCCUUCAUGCACGGCCUCCCCAGGAUCAACCUCCCCAUCUGGAGAGAUGCAUUUGUCACAGUCAGUGACCCCACAAUGACCCAUCAUCAUCGCCCAGUGUGCCUUGUUGACAUCGGGGCUCACUCUCGGUGUUGUGAAGUAUUUAUUUAUUAUUUAAUGUGUGUGGUCAUCAGCCUUGAGCCAGAAGUAGAUGUUGAAAUCUUUUACAUGCGAGGAAGCCGAAGCAUACCACAGUGAGGUGAUCCUAUGCACAGAUGCCCAGCCAGUAAGCGGAGAGCCAGGAGAGGACAGCCCAAGCACGCCCCGUACCGUCUUAGGGCUGAUGAAGUGGGGGUGUUUCCUUAGAUGACUUUGGGAAGAAGACAAAAAAACCAAUAAGGUGUAAACUCACUAUGGUGGGAAAACCUGCUACAAACUGCAAACAGGUGGAGGAUGAGCCUUCUCAGGUCUUGAGAAGGGAGUGCUAGGAUUUGCAUGUGGUUGAGUGUGUCCCCCAGAGGUUCACACGCUGGGAAUGUGAUAGAACCGGUAAAAGGUAGGGAGGUAGGGCCUGGUGCAUAAUAAUUAGAUACCCAGGAGCACCACCCUCAGUAGGGAUUAAUGCAGUUCUUGAGAGGCCUCCAUUAAGAAUGAGUUGUGCUAAAAAGUGCAAGUCUGAAUCCCUCUGGCUUCCUGUCGUGCCAUGUAAUCUCUUCCUUUUGGAUAUGCUUCCCCCAAGGUGCCAUCCACCAUGUCAUGUUGUAGGUAGAAGGUCUCCACCAGAGUGAAGCAAAUGGCACCAUGCUCAUGAACCUUCAUGACUGUGCGCUAUCUGAGCCUCUUUUCUUUAUGAAGUACCUGGCCUUGGGUAUUUUGUUAUAGCAACAGAAAACUGAUGGAUUCACAAAGAAUAAAGCUAAUGAUUAUUGAAUUUUUCCAGCACUGUCAAAAGAGAAACACAGGUGUUUAAUAAACAAUAAUAUUCUGGUCUUGUACACGAAAGAAGUAUAUUCUUCACUGGAGAAGAGAUAUUGCAUCAGCCUGUAUUGCAACUAUUUAAUGCAACAUAUCAGAUUAAGCAAGCCCCAUAGUCAUUCAAAUCCUUUCUCUUUGGCUUUUAAUAACCAAACAUCUGGUUAUUAACUAGUUAGUACCUAGAAGCUGGAGAAGAGUAGAGUGUUGUUAAUAUUGGACUAUAAAAUGAUAGUUGUGGGAAAAGUUUGAAUUUUGAUCUAAAAUUAGGGUCUUGACUUCCAGCUUGUGACUUGGGCUUCUGGUGAACUUGACUAACAGGAAUCAAUUCCCCAGCACCAAUUCAAACCUGGGUGAGCUAGUCUUGAUUGAGUUUCUGCAGGACUAAGCAGGAGAUACAGCAUCCAUGAUUAUCAUCUCAAGUGCAGCCAUCUGAGUGUCCCAUCCGGAUCUGCUCACUUUCCCCAAAACUUGAUGUGAAAAUAAAUCUGAUUAAAUGGUCCACCAAAGCAA